CCUGGUUGAUCCUGCCAGUAACAUAUGCUUGUCUCAAAGAUUAAGACAUGCCGGUCUAAGUGCACAAGGCCGGUACAGUGAAACUGCGAAUGGCUCAUUAAAUCAGAUAUGGUUCCUUUGAUCGCUCCCAACCGUACUUGGAUAACUGUGGCAAUUCCAGAGCUAAUACAUGCAAACGAGCGCUGACUGGGCCCCUUCACGGGGGCCUGCGGAUGCGUGCAUUUAUCAGAUCCAAAAACCCAUCCGGGGGCCUCGUGCUUUGGUGACUCUAGAUAACCCCGGGCCGCUCGCGCGCCCUCGGUGGUGACGAUUUGUCUUUCGAAUAUCUGCCCUAUCAACUUUCAAUGGUACUUUCGGCGCCUACCAUGGUGACCACGGGUAACGAGGUAUCAGGGUUCGAUUCCGGAGAGGGAGCCUGAGAAAUGGCUAUCACAUCCAAGGAAGGCCAAAUUACCCAUUUCCGACACAGUGAGGUAGUGACGAAAAAUAACAAUACAGGUCUCUUUCGAGCCCCUGUAAUUGGAAUGAGCGUAUCCUAAACCCAUGGGUGAGGACCCAUUGCAGGGCAAGUCUGGAGCCAGCAGCCGUGGUAAUUCCAGCUCCAUUAGCGUAUAUUAAAGUUGCUGCAGUUAAAAGCAAUUCCUCUGCCCGCGAUGCAAAGUCUAACGUGUGAGGUGUCUAGUGUGAAGGUUCGGUGCGGUGAUUGCUUAUACUACAGCACCAGAAUGAGGAAUGGGUCCCUGUAACGGUUUUGCCUCGUAUGCCUGAGUGGCCCAAGAAACAGGGCUUGGUAGGUGUGCCCAGAGGUGCUAGCCCUUCAAAUAUAAGCCUCAACAUCGGUCUGAGCAAAGUGGAGAAAAAUGGUGUCCACCACCAUCUAGCACCUGUAGACGGUGUUUAAGGGCCAAAUUGUGGAAAGCCCCGAAUAAACCUGUUUGUUCCACAGUGAGUCCCCUGCCAGUGUCGCUAGCAUGGAGCGUACACACCCGCAGCGUCUCAACGCGCAUGGCCUAUGGAAGGAAACUGAGGGGGCCUGCGGAUGCGUGCAUUUAUCAGAUCAAAAAAAAAAAACAUUAAGGAGGGCU
rnacentral:rRNA from 1 species